rnacentral:rRNA from 1 species
GAUGAACGCUGGCGGCGUGCCUAAUACAUGCAAGUCGAGCGAACAGAUAAGGAGCUUGCUCCUUUGACGUUAGCGGCGGACGGGUGAGUAACACGUGGGUAACCAACCUAUAAGACUGGAAUAACUCCGGGAAACCGGGGCUAAUGCCGGAUAACAUUUAGAACCGCAUGGUUCUAAAGUGAAAGAUGGUUUUGCUAUCACUUAUAGAUGGACCCGCGCCGUAUUAGCUAGUUGGUAAGGUAACGGCUUACCAAGGCAACGAUACGUAGCCGACCUGAGAGGGUGAUCGGCCACACUGGAACUGAGACACGGUCCAGACUCCUACGGGAGGCAGCAGUAGGGAAUCUUCCGCAAUGGGCGAAAGCCUGACGGAGCAACGCCGCGUGAGUGAUGAAGGUCUUCGGAUCGUAAAACUCUGUUAUUAGGGAAGAACAAAUGUGUAAGUAACUGUGCACGUCUUGACGGUACCUAAUCAGAAAGCCACGGCUAACUACGUG